rnacentral:rRNA from 1 species
GACGAACGCUGGCGGCGUGCUUAACACAUGCAAGUCGAACGGUGACGGAGAGCUUGCUCUCCUGAUCAGUGGCGAACGGGUGAGUAACACGUGGGCAACCAGCCCAGACUUCGGGAUAACGCUUCGAAAGAGGUGCUAAUACCGGAUACGAGCUCCUUGGGCAUCCUUGGAGUUGGAAAGUUUUUCGGUCUGGGAUGGGCCCGCGGCCUAUCAGCUAGUUGGUGAGGUAACGGCUCACCAAGGCGACGACGGGUAGCCGGCCUGAGAGGGCGACCGGCCACACUGGGACUGAGACACGGCCCAGACUCCUACGGGAGGCAGCAGUGGGGAAUAUUGCGCAAUGGGCGAAAGCCUGACGCAGCAACGCCGCGUGAGGGAUGACGGCC